CUCGACGGCAACGGCACAGCAGCACCAGCACAUCGACAUGGACGACGGCGACCUCGACUCCGCCGCACUCUGGGCCGCCGUCGACUCCGCCGCCGCCCAGGCCUCCCGUGUCCGCUGCGCCUCCAGCGACGACGAUCACCGCGGCGAGGUGCUGCAGCCCGCCCGCCCGUUCAAGUCUCCGCGGCUCGCCUCCGCCUCCUACGCCACGCCGCCGCCGCCGCCCCUGCCUCUACACCCGCCCCCGACUCAUGCCUCUCCCUACGCCACACUCGACGCCGCGGUGGAGGCCAGGAGCCGGCUUGUUGUCGUCGAGAGCCCUCCCCCUGCGCCCUGGGGAGUUCCCAAGGGGAGUCCCAUCGCCGCCGACGGGUGCUUGCUGCCCUCCCUCUCCGUGGCCAACUUCAGAAAGUACCAGGAGGUAGCCCUCUCGAUUUUGGAGAAAAGCGACUACACCUCUAUCAGUGGGAAUCCAUACAUAAAGAAAUCAGGGUGGAGAAAAAUAUCUUGCUUCUUCAAUAUCUCAUUUGAAAUCAAGGAUCACUCCAUCGAGUUCGAUGAUGACCACAAUGUCAAGCGUGCUGAAUUUCUUGUUCGAGCGUCAAUGAUAGGUGGCAGGUUCUCAGAUGGUUGGGGCUCAUGUGAUCGACGAGAGAAAAGGUUUAACAAACCUAACCAUGAUAUCCCCAGCACAGCUGAAACCAGAGCUAAGAACAAGGCUUGCCAGGAUCUUCUAGGCAUUGGAAAUAACCGUCCUGGAUGAGAGACAUGGAAGAACAGUGACAAAAGUUUUUGUUCAGAUAGGACCUCUUCCAUAAAUCAAAGACUAAAACAGCGUGCCAAAGAAAUCAGCCGAUGCAGAUACUAUGGGACCUAUGGGGCAUAAGGGUUGAUUGGAGCACAUAAUUUGGGGAGCAGUUUGGAUAACAAAAGAUGCAGAGAAGAUUGGGAAUUUGGGAUUCAUCUAAUUUGUCUGCUUCAACACCACAUAGACACAGCUUAUGUACUUCUAUUUCAUCUCUUGAUACUUGAAUAUACGAUCACCAUAAAUUCUUGAAAAAGAUGCAUCCUUUUUUCCCCUUGAAAUGGCGUUAGGAAGUUUUUACUAUCUGCUUAAAUAAAACACGCUGCGCAAAAUCGCAUUUCCCAGUGAUAGUACAUAUCAAGAUGGAGAGUAAAACGCCAUCCACUAACUCACUUAUACCAAUAUCAGGGGCAGCGAGAGGAUGCAGGGGAGAGUGGGAGACGGAGACGCUACCUCGCCCGCAGCAGGGAGGAACGAGAGCCGUUGCGUGGGAGGAGAAGCCACAGGUAGCAGUAGGCACACAAAAGCGCCAUCCAUAGGAGAUCGUUUGGCCGGGAAAAGUCCGAUGCCUGCCC